AGCGAACGCUGGCGGCAGGCCUAACACAUGCAAGUCGAACGAACUCUUCGGAGUUAGUGGCGGACGGGUGAGUAACACGUGGGAACGUGCCUUUUGGCUCGGAAUAACUCAGGGAAACUUGUGCUAAUACCGAAUGUGCCCUUCGGGGGAAAGAUUUAUCGCCAUUAGAGCGGCCCGCGUCUGAUUAGCUAGUUGGUGAGGUAACGGCUCACCAAGGCGACGAUCAGUAGCUGGUCUGAGAGGAUGACCAGCCACACCGGGACUGAGACACGGCCCAGACUCCUACGGGAAGCAGCAGUGGGGAAUCUUGCGCAAUGGGCGAAAGCCUGACGCAGCCAUGCCGCGUGAAUGAUGAAGGUCUUAGGAUUGUAAAAUUCUUUCACCGGGGACGAUAAUGACGGUACCCGGAGAAGAAGCCCCGGCUAACUUCGUG
rnacentral:rRNA from 1 species